ensembl:lncRNA
CCCGGUUCUACACUAUUAUAACCAUACACCAGAGGGCGCAAUCUCCAUCUUGUGUGCAACAGUAGCACUGCUUUACCAAAUGUGUUUCCAUCAUUCGAAAAUACCUGCAGUGCAGAGACAGAGAUUGAGAAUGUCAAGUGAUUUCCCGGAAAACAGCAGUCUACAGCGCAGUUUCUUGAAUGUCAAGUGAUUUCCCAGAAAACAGGAGUCUACAGCGCAGUUUCUUAAAUGUCAUGUGAUUUUCUGGAAAACAGCAGUCCAGAGCUUACCUCUGACUGGCUGAAAUGUAGAGAUGCAUAAUGUGAGUACAAGUAUUUAAGACCACUGCAUAGUGUACCAUAGCAAAAGAACACAGUGCACCUUCAUCAUCAUCAUCAUCGGACACAUCUAUUACGUGAUAUUCAGCAGAGAACUUUCAUUUGCUUUUUGGAAUCCAGAUUCACCUCAGGAGCGUAAAAGAAGAAGAAAGGAGCUGUAAACCCAACCAGAGUGUUUAGAAGACCUGAGUCAUCAAAACCUGGUGAAUUAAAAUAAGACAGCAUGGGUAAGAAAUGUAAAUUAUAAUUGGAAUACAUCAGUAUCCUAUACAUACACUGUACUAGUUUAAGAUGUUUGUAUUUCUGUGAUGACGACAUCUGAAGAUGAAAAAUAAUUCUUCUUCUUUAAUUAUUGCAGAGCCAGGAGAAGAAACAGCAGGAGAACAAGAGGAGACUUUGCAGUCAUCACUGCAAGCAAAUCAAUGGAAACAAUCACCGCUAAAAUUUAGGACUCACAACAUCCUCCCUCAGUCUUCACAGACAGAUGAAUCCCAGCAGACAGUUGCAGAUCUCUCUGCAGACAGCUAUCUGCAGACAGGCAGCUCAUGGACCACAAUGACAAAAGAAAGAGAGGAAUCUUCUCUAAUGCCAGGUUCACCUGUAGACACAGAGAAGGGUGAAACAGGAAACAACAUCCCUGAGCAAAUGACUGACGAUUCUGAAUCAAAUGUCUCAGAAAAGGUUGGAACAAACGUGGAAUUCCUUAACGGAGCAGAGUCCAUAAAACCCCAUCCAUUUGUCAUGGCAAUUUGAAAAUGCCAGCAGAUCUCUCAGGCAUUGAUCAUAAUAAAUGGACAGGUAAGGAUAUUCUGGACA